AUAAUACUCCCUCCGUCCGGAAUUACUUGUCAUCAAAAUGGAUGUGUCUAGAACUAAAAUACAUCUAGAUACAUCCAUUCCAAUGACAAGUAUUUUCGGACGGAGGGAGUAGUAG
rnacentral:pre_miRNA from 1 species